rnacentral:rRNA from 1 species
CAGUAGCCGCGGUAAUACGUAGGUGGCAAGCGUUGUCCGGAAUUAUUGGGCGUAAAGCGCGCGCAGGUGGUUUAAUAAGUCUGAUGUGAAAGCCCACGGCUCAACCGUGGAGGGUCAUUGGAAACUGUUAAACUUGAGUGCAGGAGAGAGAAGUGGAAUUCCUAGUGUAGCGGUGAAAUGCGUAGAGAUUAGGAGGAACACCAGUGGCGAAGGCGGCUUUUUGGCCUGUAACUGACACUGAGGCGCGAAAGCGUGGGGAGCAAACAGGAUUAGAGACCCCUGUAGUCCCUGUCUCUUAUAC